UAAUAAAAAAAAAACCUUCGAGUUAAGCCUAACUGAGCGAGCUCACAGAGACAUCGGUGGUGCCGGAAAAUCUUAUUCGAUUGAGUAUCGAAGAGAAUUUGAGAUAAGAAUGUCCAUAGAGGAAGACGUGAAGACGCCACCGUUAGGGAGCCACUGGAUCUGAUUCGAUUGAGUAUCAAGGAGAGAAUCUACGUCAAGCUCUGAUCCGAUCGUGAACUCCCUACGGAGUGAUAGAUUAACAGCGCGGGUUACCUAUGCAGUGAGUGAUAUCUAUAGGGUUUCAUCAUCACCACUCCUCACUGGUGCUCCUCCGCUUCUUCUUCCUCAUAUUAUUCAAGUCAAGGAGGUUAACCCUUAAUUUCAAGUAUUGAAGUCCAUAGUCAAGUGAGAUGGUUAAUGGUUGUGAAGGAACUGAGAGCUCAAAUGCCGCCACGGCUAAAACUCCCGAACCUUCUGGCCGGCCGCAACAAAAGGGUAGCUACGUUUUCUAUAUAAUCAAGCUGGAUUUGGUUUAUCUGAAGGAAUGCAAUCUCUACAUUUAUGUUUCUUGGUGGCUAUACUGUGUCAAGGAAAGGCUGUCAGGUGAUCAGUUUGAAGAGCUGAAGGCAUUCAUAGACAUUGGUGAUAUUUUGAAUGCUUGUGAGUUGUGACUCAAUGAAGAGGUCUUGAAUAAAAUGAGAGAAGCAUUGUUUUAGGUUUGUUUAUUUGUUAGUACCUCUUAACUCCUUAUCAAGCUCGCUCAUGAUGUAUAUAUUUAGAAGUGUUUAAGAGGCCCGGAAUGAUAAGAAAGGUCGUGCGCGAAUGGGUGUCUGAUAUGCUGUUGAUUGAUGGGAAGUCAACGCUAAUCCAAGCGUUGAUCAAUGUUUCGGUUUACCUCCUUCAGCAGCGUUUUUAUGUGAGAAGAAGCAGCACUAACUUCAGGUUCCCUGGCAGUCCUUUUGCAAUAAGAUUCAUCGAACAAACCAUGUAUGUCCAGAUUGCUGAAUCAGUCUACGGAGAGGUUCCGUUUCCAUAGCUUUGAGCAACUAAUGUCAGGCCAACAAAACACACAGAUUUGCCAGAUAUCGUCGGGAACUAUCACCAUUUUCAAUGAAGAAACAAAAAUAAUUCGACGCAUCAUGGCAACGCUCUGAUUUAUUUUUGUAUAGAUAACAAAUUGGAUUCCAGCACAAAGUUACAAUCUAUAACUCCACAGGGGGCAUGUAUAAUCGUAAAAUAAAGCAUAAGCCUCUGAGAAAUCGAUAGAAAAGAAGGUAAUUGCAGAGCAGGAUGCAUUCAAGAAGGGCCUGCAAGCUUUCCACUGGAAAGACUAUUGGCAAUAUAUUCCAGUUCAUGUAUUGUGUCUUGAGGAGAUUAUUCAUUUGGCAAAGAGGAAGAAGAAGGGAAAGGGAAGAAGCUAUGGGUACGACAAUGAUGUCUGAUAUUCUGCUUGAAAUGUAGAGUCUUGCAAACUUCAUAAUCAAAAGCAGAAGCUAUUUGAAGGUUCUAUUUGGUACAGUUCCAUGGUGUUACAUGAUCUGUCUCUGAAGGUUACGAGAACCCUAGCUUUCCACUGUCCAAGUACUUAUACAGAAAGCAAGUGCCGAGUGUACAAAGAAACUACAUAAUCAGAAGCAGAGGCUGCCCAUUAGAAGGCACUAUACGUGAAUAGUUAUGUAAACUGUAAAAUACCCAGUGUUUGUUUUAAAAUACUCAUUAUAAGCAACACGAGACGGUUUAAAAAAUAUAAACCUUAGUCAUUAAAAAUA